CGCGGGAUGGAGCAGUUGGUAGCUCGUCGGGCUCAUAACCCGAAGGUCGUAGGUUCAAGUCCUACUCCCGCAACCA
rnacentral:tRNA from 37 species